AGGUGCGAUCAUACCAGCACUAAUGCACCGGAUCCCAUCAGAACUCCGCAGUCAUGCGUGCUUGUGAGAGAGCAGUACUAGGAUGGGUGACCUCCUGGGAAGUCCUCGUGUUGCACCUC
rfam:Lupinus angustifolius cultivar Tanjil contig_22470, whole genome shotgun sequence.